AGUGAACGCUGGCGGUAGGCCUAACACAUGCAAGUCGAACGGCAGCACAGUAAUAGCUUGCUCUUACGGGUGGCGAGUGGCGGACGGGUGAGGAAUACAUCGGAAUCUACUUUUUCGUGGGGGCUAACGUAGGGAAACUUACGCUAAUACCGCAUACGACCUACGGGUGAAAGCAUGGGAUCUUCGGACCUUGCGCGAUUGUAUGAGCCGAUGUCGGAUUAGCUAGUUGGCGGGGUAAAGGCCCACCAAGGCGACGAUCCGUAGCUGGUCUGAGAGGAUGAUCAGCCACACUGGAACUGAGACACGGUCCAGACUCCUACGGGAGGCAGCAGUGGGGAAUAUUGGACAAUGGGCGCAAGCCUGAUCCAGCCAUACCGCGUGGGUGAAGAAGGCCUUCGGGUUGUAAAGCCCUUUUGUUGGGAAAGAAAAGCAGCAGGUUAAUACCCCGCUGUUCUGACGGUACCCAAAGAAUAAGCACCGGCUAACUUCGUG
rnacentral:rRNA from 1 species